GGUGUCGUGGUCUAGUGGAUAAGUCUCCAGACUGUGGACCACAAGGUACAGGGUUCAAAUCCCUGCCGCACUA
rnacentral:tRNA from 1 species